rnacentral:lncRNA from 1 species
UCCCUCAAGAGUUUUCAGUCGAUGCGCAUCCGGUCUAAGUAUUUCGAUUAUUCUGUAAGGUCCUUCCCAAUUCGAAGAUAAUUUUUUCUGAUCCAAAGGUCUUGAGACUUUUGCUUUCUUUAGGACCAGGUCUCUUGGAUGGAAAACUUUCGGUUUAACUUUUGCAUUAUAACAUCGGGCUACUCUUUGCCAAUAUACUACCAUCCGAACUUGAGCUUGUUGUCGAACUUCUGAAAGUAGAUCUUAAUCGGCUCUCUGACAUUCUGAAUUGCUCAGCUCACUGUAUUACUCCAUCCUGCUGAUGGUAAUUUGAUCUCAAGUAGGAUCAUCACUUCUAUUCUAUAAGCCAGAUUGAAUGGCAAUUCUUCUGUUGGUACAUGUGGAGUUGUUCGAUAAGCCCAUAAGAUCGGAUAUAAUUCUUCCAUCUAGAGGCCUUUAGCUUCAUUCAGUCUGGUCUUGAGUCCAUGCAAAAUUAUUCUGUUUGUUACCUCCAUCUCUUCGUUGGAUUGUGGAUGGCCGACUGAUGUGAGUUUGUGCGUAAUGUAAAAUUUCAUACAGAACUCUUUGAAGUUUUGGUUGUCGAAUUACUAAUCAUUGUCAGUGAUAAUGGUGUGUGGUAGACUGAAUCUGUAUAUGAUUGAUUUUUGAAUAAAAUCUUCUUACUCUCAGUAAUUUAUACCAGAGAUUCAGCUUUCACCCACUUGGUGAAGUAAUCGAUGGCUACCACUAUGAACUUUCUUUGACCAGA